AACCUUAAUCUUGCUCUGCGUCUAUGGCGGUUGUUGUAUUAGAAAACCACUUGUUAUCUGAGCAUAAGAAUGAUGCCAGUCACGAGUAGCACCUUGUUGCCACUGACAUAGAGAUUCACACACAGAUUUUAACCUGGUUUUUUUUUUUUUUUUUGUGGAAAAACUCUACCUUUCACGAUAAUAUUUUGUAGCAGUUGGACCUAGAAUUGUUGCUUUGCUCAUUAAGAUAAUGAUCUAUUAGAAGUACAUUUGACAUGGUUUAUCACGCUUUUUUUUCAUUAAUAAUGUGUCUUUGUCAAUGAAUUAUCUAUUGUUAAUAAUAAUAUAUUUAUACAAUUUGCAUAUAAAGUUCUUUUGGAGAAUGUAAAAUCAUGGGAUGUAUCCUCAAGUGUUGCAUGUCUACAUGUAGAUCAUGGGCCUGUUUCAUAAAACAAGCUUACCAAAUAAGUUAGGUUUAUUUCAACUAGUCUUGACUUCUUGUCAGUUGAUUUGGUUCAAAACUGAAAUAAGCCUGGCUUGUUCGGUAGACUUGUUUUAUGAAACAGCCCCCAGGUUUCCUAUGAAUCCUGUGUUUUUGUAGUAUAAUGGUCAUAUCCCAUGUCAUUUUAUCUUUAGUUAAUACUUAGAUGGGAAUCCUAGCAAGAAUAUGGGAUGCAAUCCAUUUUCUAAAUCCUGAGUAUUUACCAAAUAGAUUUUCUGCUGACAUAAAUAUUUCAGUAUACAUCCAUUUCCAGUGUUAUUCUGUAAAUUCCUUGUUAUUUGUUGAUUGUACAUGAUGCUAUUUACACAAGUGUAUAUUUUUAUGAUAUUAGUGUGUAUGAUUGUGUGGAGGAAUAUUUUUUUCACAAUUAAAUUAAAAAAAUUCUGCAAUAGUAA